AGUGAACGCUGGCGGUAGGCCUAACACAUGCAAGUCGAACGGCAGCACAGUAAGAGCUUGCUCUUACGGGUGGCGAGUGGCGGACGGGUGAGGAAUACAUCGGAAUCUACUUUUUCGUGGGGGAUAACGUAGGGAAACUUACGCUAAUACCGCAUACGACCUACGGGUGAAAGCAGGGGAUCUUCGGACCUUGCGCGAUUGAAUGAGCCGAUGUCGGAUUAGCUAGUUGGCGGGGUAAAGGCCCACCAAGGCGACGAUCCGUAGCUGGUCUGAGAGGAUGAUCCGCCCCACUGGAACUGAGACACGGUCCAGACCCCUACGGGAGGCAGCAGGGGGGAAUUUUGGACAAUGGGCGCAAGCCUGAUCCAGCCAUACCGCGGGGGUGAAGAAGGCCUUCGGGUUGUAAAGCCCUUUUGUUGGGAAAAAAAAGCAGCAGGUUAAUACCCCGCUGUUCUGACGGUACCCAAAAAAUAAGCACCGGCUAACUUCGU
rnacentral:rRNA from 1 species